rnacentral:rRNA from 1 species
AUUGAACGCUGGCGGCAGGCUUAACACAUGCAAGUCGAGCGGAGAUGAGGUGCUUGCACCUUAUCUUAGCGGCGGACGGGUGAGUAAUGCUUAGGAAUCUGCCUAUUAGUGGGGGACGACAUUCCGAAAGGGAUGCUAAUACCGCAUACGUCCUACGGGAGAAAGCAGGGGAUCUUCGGACCUUGCGCUAAUAGAUGAGCCUAAGUCGGAUUAGCUAGUUGGUGGGGUAAAGGCCUACCAAGGCGACGAUCUGUAGCGGGUCUGAGAGGAUGAUCCGCCACACUGGGACUGAGACACGGCCCAGACUCCUACGGGAGGCAGCAGUGGGGAAUAUUGGACAAUGGGGGGAACCCUGAUCCAGCCAUGCCGCGUGUGUGAAGAAGGCCUUAUGGUUGUAAAGCACUUUAAGCGAGGAGGAGGCUACUGAGACUAAUACUCUUGGAUAGUGGACGUUACUCGCAGAAUAAGCACCGGCUAACUCUGUGCCAGCCGCCGCAGUAAGAC